rfam:Schistosoma curassoni strain Dakar, Senegal genome assembly, scaffold: SCTD_scaffold0000802
AUCCCUCUGACGAGUCUGAAAUAGGACGAAACGCGCGUCUUGAAU